rnacentral:rRNA from 1 species
AAUAGAUACCCCGGUAGUCCCAGCUGUAAACGAUGCAGACUCGUGAUGAGUUGGCUUUUUUGCUAACUCAGUGCCGCAGGGAAGCCGUUAAGUUUGCCGCCUGGGGAGUACGGUCGCAAGACUGAAAACUUAAAGGAAUUGGCGGGGGGAGCACCACAAGGGGGUGAAGCCUGCGGUUCAAUUGGAGUCAACGCCGGAAAUCUUACCGGGGGGCGACAGCAGAGUGAAGGUCAAGCUGAAGACUUUACCAGACAAGCUGAGAGGAGGUGCAUGGCCGUCGCCAGCUCGUGCCGUGAGGUGUCCUGUUAAGUCAGGUAACGAGCGAGAUCCCUGCCUCUAGUUGCUACCAUUAUUCUCAGGAGUAGUGGAGCUAAUUAGAGGGACCGCCGUCGCUGAGCGGAGGAAGGUGGGGGCUACGGCAGGUCAGUAUGCCCCGAAACCCUCGGGCCACACGCGGGCUGCAAUGGUAAGGACAAUGAGUUUCGGAUUCCGAAAGGAGGAGGCAAUCUCUAAACCGUUACACAGUUAUGAUUGAGGGCUGUAAACC